rnacentral:sRNA from 1 species
GGACUUCCUGCUGGUACCUAUUGCGACGUCAUCAGUGGAAAUUAUGAAAACGGUCAGUGCACUGGCUCAAGCGUGACCGUUGGUGGAGAUGGAAGGGCGAACAUUAGGGUUUGCUCUAGUUGUGAUGACCCCAUGGUGGCUAUUCACGUAGGUGCCAAAGUUGGUUCACCGGCUCAACGCUACUGAAGACGAUUAUAUUUUGUAUACAUUUGAGUCGCAUGUGUAGAAAUCCGCAUUUUAUGAUGAGCAAUGCCAACUUUCAUUUAUGUUCAAUUCUAUGCAAUUGUACUAAAGACAGACAACGUGCUACAAAAUGCACAAACUGGAGUGUUCUUUUAUCAGACAAAUAGAAAAAGACUGUUUUUUUAAAUAAAAUAAAAGACUUUGUUGUUAAAAAUCU